rnacentral:lncRNA from 1 species
GUAUUUUAUUUGUUUAUACCAAAAAAACUUUUUUUGGUUCAGUUCUAUUAGAUAUUUUCAUUGAAAACUGAUGAGGUUUCUCUCCUGGAUGCUGAAUGGCUGGAGAAAUCAUUAUGUAGUAUAAACCUUUAUACCAUAAAACUUUUUCUUAAUGAAAAUAUAGACUAUAUUAUAGUAAAUAUGUAUACACCUGAAAUUUGAUAUUGAUAUUUCUAAUUACUUUACAUUUUAUUUUUUAGUAGCCACUUGAAGUAUGACCAAGAAGAAAGUUCUACAUUUCAGCUCCCUUCAGAUUAAAGUCAUCCCUGUUCCCUCGUCCAGUGACAAACACUCAACAAUGAAGCCGAUAUAGCCAUUAUUGUACUUGUAAUGAAGCUGUGUUUCAAUACAGGGGAUACUCAGGUUCAAAAGGAGAUGUCAGAAGAACAAGAUGAUGGAGCAGUGGCAGGCAUGACCAGAGGCUGUGAUUAUGUCAACAACAAAAGCAAACUUGAAGAAGAAGAACAAAGCUUAGCAGUUAAAGAUGUCUCAGUACACGCAAGAGAAAUGCCUGGCAGGUGGGGAGCAGAGGGCAUGAGGUCCACAGUGGAAAUGAGAAAGAAAGGUGAGGAUAUCACCCUGAGGACCAGGAUAUGCUUCUUUCAGCAGGGGAAACGCACUGAGAAGCCAAGGGUCCUAAGGUGGGACGUGUGUGUGUGUGUGUGUGUGUGUGUGUGUGUGUGUAUUUAUAUAUAUGACCUCUUUGAAUAGUUUUCUCUUUCUGUUAUUCCUACGAAACCAUUGAGGUCAAGAAGUGUUUACAAGUUACACAGGAAUAGUAGCUGGAGCUGAGAGCUUAUGUCCAUAAAGUAAAGUAAUGAUUUCUACUCCAGUAAGCCAAGCACUUAUAUAAAAGCACCUUCAGGGGAUAUUUGUGUGUGUGUUUGUGUAUGUAUAUGUAUAUAUGUGUGUAUGUAUAAGUGGAUAUAUAUACAUGUAUAUAUACAUAUACACACACACACAUCCCUAUAUUAAGCUAUAUACUGAAGAACCAGCAGGAAUUGAUACUGUACUAUCUGGAACACUAAAAGAAUAAAAGACACAGCUAUUUGUGAGCA